rnacentral:rRNA from 1 species
GAUGAACGCUGGCGGCGUGCCUAAUACAUGCAAGUCGAGCGAACAGACGAGGAGCUUGCUCCUCUGACGUUAGCGGCGGACGGGUGAGUAACACGUGGAUAGCCUACCUAUAAGACUGGGAUAACUUCGGGAAACCGGAGCUAAUACCGGAUAAUAUAUUGAACCGCAUGGUUCAAUAGUGAAAGACGGUUUUGCUGUCACUUAUAGAUGGAUCCGCGCCGCAUUAGCUAGUUGGUAAGGCAACGGCUUACCAAGGCAACGAUGCGUAGCCGACCUGAGAGGGUGAUCGGCCACACUGGAACUGAGACACGGUCCAGACUCCUACGGGAGGCAGCAGUAGGGAAUCUUCCGCAAUGGGCGAAAGCCUGACGGAGCAACGCCGCGUGAGUGAUGAAGGUCUUCGGAGCGUAAAACUCUGUUAUUAGGGAAGAACAAAUGUGUAAGUAACUAUGCACGGCUUGACGGUACCUAAUCAGAAAGCCACGGCUAACUACGUG